AGUCCAUGAUGUGGACAUUUCCGAAACAACUCUCUAAACCUUUCCCAUACUUCAUACAACGAUUCCCUCUCUAAUUGACUAAAACUAGUAAUAUUCAUUCUAAAUUU